rnacentral:misc_RNA from 1 species
AAUUCUCAACCCCCCUGUUUUGUAAUGAAGCAGGCGUGGGCUUGGAUUAUGGCUGCUGCCGGCGUAAUCGUCGACUCGGCUGAAAUACACGAGCUACCCAUUUCCUAAGAAAUAAACGGUUUGACUCGGCGUAAUAAUCUAUUUCGCUGAGGACGUUACAUUCUUAAUUCAGCGGUGCUUCCAAUGCGACAUCUAAUCUUAAGA